ACCCGUCCCGUUCGUCCCCGGACGUUGCUCUCUACCCCGGGAACGUCGAGACUGGAGCGCCCGAACUGAGCCACCUUCGCGGACCCCGAGAGCGGCGGCGCGACUCACCGCGGAGGCGCCCGGACGCGUCAAGCCCAGCCCAAUAGGAAGCACCUGAUCCACACUCUUUCUAGCCCCAGGGAUGCUCAGGAAAGCAGCCUUUCUUUAGGGCUGUCAUCUGUUCUGGGGAUCUGUUGCUGUUUCUUGGGCCCACAGAAUACACUCCACACCUCGGGACUCCAUAAUAUUGGACAAGGCUGGAAGGCCCAUUUGGCUCCUGCAGCCUCUUAUGCAGGAGGACCUCCUGAGGCUUCGGGCAGGAGCUGGUGCACACCUGGAGGAGAGUGCUGGUGAAUGGCAGUCAUCCUCUUCAGCGGUCCUCCCAGAGCUGUCCUCAGCAUGGCAGCCUCCACAGCCCCUGGGUGUCACCCCCGGUUUCGUGUCUGCCUCGGACUCCAGACCUGCCCCUCCCAGGCUGGCCCAGAUGGAUCCUCUACAGUGACUAACCCAAACCAGCACCAGGCAGGGACCCAAUAAACCUUUGUGAAUGGAGUAAA
ensembl:lncRNA DIO3OS DIO3 opposite strand upstream RNA